AUGCUCCCUGUCGCGCUACGAUCAGCGCUCCCUCGAGCUCCACAAGAAAUUCUUUCCGGCUGCGUCUGCACCUCUGAAAAGGUACUAUUUCAAACACAGAAGCUGGUUCUUCAAACGAUUAAACUGAAAUUAUUACUUCAACUACUGUUAUUAAGCUCACACACUCGAAGGAGGGAUCAUUGUUUCUUAUUGGAGAAGGCCUGGUGUUCAGUUGGUGUAUGUGUGGUACCUACACCAGCAUUUUCCAUCAAGACCUCCAGAAAGAGAGAUCAUCUCAAGAUCAUGCAAGUUCAACUAUAUAACCGCAUGCAUGUCUCCCUUAGUCCGACUAUUGCUGCUGCUUCAAAUCACAAAAUUUGA
rnacentral:rRNA from 1 species